rnacentral:rRNA from 1 species
CUACGGGGGGCUGCAGUCGAGGAAAUUUUACAAUGCUCGCAAGAGUGAUAAAAUAAGCCAGAGUGUUAAUCUUAGAUUAACUUUUAUCUGAUGUAAAAAGUCAGAUGAAUAAGGACUGGGCAAGACCGGUGCCAGCCGCCGCGGUAAUACCGGCGGUCCAAGUUGCAUCCACAUUUAUUGGGUCUAAAACAUUCGUAGCUUGUUUUGUAAGUUUCUUGUGAAAUUUCAUAUCUCAAAUAUGAAGCGUGCAAGAAAUACUGCAUUGCUAGAGACCGGAAGACGUAAGGAGUAUGAUUGAGGUAGUGGUAAAAUACGUUAAUCUUAAUCAGACUAACAAUGGCGAAGGCACCUUACGAGUACGGAUCUGACAGUGAGGGAUGAAGGCCAGGGGCGCGAAAGGGAUUAGAUACCCCCGUAGUC